GUGGGGUGGGCUGUUUGUUUUAGGCGGGUGAUAAAAUCGCAGUUAACGAGCUGAUAAUUCGUUCGUGUUUGUUUUAAAAGACAAAUUGUAAAGAUUAAUCAGGCGGCUUGAUUUAUGGCGAGGCAGACCCCGGCGCUGCCCGGCCAGGGCUCCCUGAAGCCCCCGGCUCGGGUUACCCGGGGGCCGGCAGGCGAAGCAAAACAAAAGGGGCGAGCGGGCAGCGGCUCCGGCCGCGCUGCCUCGGGCCUGGCCCCCCGCCCCGGCGCCCGCCCCCACCCCCCCACCCUCCCCCUCGGGCCGGGGGGUCCGGCGGCCCCCUCCCCGCCGCCGGGGUGCUGGCACUGCGGCCGGCGCCUCUCCUCGCACCCAACUCUCGCGUUUUGCAGCUCCCCCCCCUUCCAUUAAAACCCUUUGUAAAAUGAAAUGACCCCCUCCAGCAGGGAUGAACGAUUUCUGCUGAGGGAGCGGUUUAAUUCCCGUGGCUGAGCUGGGAGAUUUCCUAGCCAGCCGGCUCUCAGGAUUUUACUUUAUUUUAUUUUAUUUCUUUCCCCGCCGCGUCCCGUUCCCGCUGCCUGCGUUUGGCGAACCGGCUGCCGGCUCCGGUCUCGGCCGCUAAAUGCCCCGGCGGCACGGCUGGGGUUUUUUAAUUGAAUUAAUUCACCCAUCGGGAACAUCGGCAGCCCGCGCUGGCUGCUGGAGGCGAGCAGCUUAGCUCCGCUCCGCAGCCCGCUUCACACGGCUGGUUAAGCAGCUCUCCCCUCAAUUUUCUGCCAAGCCUCCGGGGAGAGGGUCCUGCCGGGCCCGGGACGCGCCCUGCUCCCUCACCCCGCUCCUUGCAAACCCCCAUUUGCCGCCUUUUCUCCCCUUUUUUUCCUUUUUUUUUUUUUUCCCCCGACACAACGGGCUCCGCUUUAUUAACUUUAUUUUGUUAUUGCCGUUGCAAUUUUUUUUCUUUUUCAAUAAGGGAGCUUUCCCAGAUCUGGAAGCACAACUGGUUAUUUUGAUUUGAUUGACAAGUGAUGUCAUAUCGUUAAGGGAGGGGGGAGACGACAACAUGUUUUAGCAACAGUUAGCAGCGCCAUGUGAUGGAGUUGACACCUAUGCCCGGGCAGAGGCGAAGGCAGAAAACAAAUACCCCCGGCCGUGCACGCAGACUAUUUAUUUACACACCCGGGCUGGCGUUUCUUCCUCUUCCUCACCCCCCCCCCCCCCCCCCCCCCCGAUCCUGGGUGCUUGGACCUGAGAAAAAGUGUACCUGAGCAAACGGGGCUGGGCUGGGUGGGACCCGCAGCCCCCGGGGCACUUUCCUCCAGACACCCCCCUUCCCGGGGUGCCCCCGGCGCCCCCCCCGCCCUGUCCAGGGGCCACGCUCCCUCCCGGUGAACGGAGACCCGGGGGUCAAGACCUCCCGGGGCGGCCGUGCAGCAUCCUUCCCCCCCCCCGCUCCGCGCUCCGCCCCGAAGUGCAACCGGCGGCGGCCGCAAGCAGGGAGGGCAGGAAAAACUCCUCGAAAAGGAAGAAAAAGAGGGAGAGGAGCGCUCAGCCCCGCGCCGGGCCGCGGUGCUCCCGGCCGCCGGGCGAUGUGCGAGCCCCGGGGCGGGCCGGGGAAGGCGGCUGCCCUCCGGCGGGGAGGGGGCUGGGAGGGCCGGCGGCGGGCUGUGGGCGUACCGCCCCGACCCCCCCCUCCCGCCCCGCCGGGGGCCGCGGCAGGUAGAGGACCAGCCGGCCGGUGCGAGCGGCUGCCGCCCGCCCGCAGUCUUUCGGGCAAUGCACCUGCACGUAAGGGAGGCAGCGGAGAAGCUGGAAGAGGCGCAAGCAGAUAUUACGCGACGAGUCGUUGUUAUAGCUAGGAAAGAAACGGAAGAGGGAGAUGCUGUCGCCAGCCGCGCCCUGGGAUCGCCCCUGCACGGAACGACUCUAAAACGAGGGACCGUCGCUCAGGCGGACAAACUACGGCAAAAGCGGGGUUUGAAGCCUGCAGAUUUUUCCCCGAGCUGGGACAGACGGGGGUGUCCGAGCCGGGGGCCGGGGGGGCUGAGCCCGGCGGAGGCGCAGGGCUGCCCACCCGAGGCUCACCGCGCUGCUGCCUGCUCGCCGGCCAGGCUGUCCCGGGGCCAGGGCCGACCCCCCAAGUGCCACCAGAGGCAUUUGGGGCCGGAGGGGCGGGGGGUUGCGAUUUUCCCCUCAUGUCGGCUGGAAGAGAAGGAUGUUUUCCUCUGCUGUUUAGCUUUCGUGCUAAAGAUGUCAUCUGAAAGUCUGGGAGGAAGGGGGGAAUUGUGCUCUGCUCUCUUCCACGGUAACAACCAUAUUCUGCAUAUUGAAAAAUAUGAUAGACAGUGGGGAAGGCGCACUUCCCCCCCACCCCCUUUAAAAAAAAAAAAAAAAAAGACCCAACCUUUUCAAUAUUGAUUCAACAAAAAAGAGAGGGAGAGAAUUUAAAAAGAGAAGAAGCAGCACCAGCAGCAGGGAGAAUAUAGGCUCAGCAACUCUCCAGAUUAUCGGAACCCUUUCAAAACUCACACAACAAAUACAGCCACCGCAUCUAAUGCAUCAUUUACCAGAGCAGAUCUCCGCGUUUGAUCGGCAGAUAGGCAAAAUCUAUGUAUUCCUUGCUUUACUUAGUAUGCAUGGACGCGGGGCUGCUGUGCAUGCAGGGUGCCCCCCGGCUGGGCCUGGGACACCCCCGAGGCUCUUAGCACACGCAGGUCUUUGCUGUGGACUCCGUGGAGUGACAAGAGUGUCCCCUGCCUGUUCUGGACCCGGGGGAGCAGGGUGGGACAGCAACCCACCUUGCAAGGUGCUGCCGUGCGGCAUGCUUGGAAAUUUGGGGUUGCUCUGCUGGGGAGCUAGUGGAUUUGCAGGGAGAGAGGAAGAGGUGUGAGCAUCAUCCUGGGCACCCCAGGCACCCGCUCACACUCACGCUCCCUCCUGCACCCACAGUUGCAUUCACCCCUGCCCACAAGCGGCUGCUGAGCCCCAGCUGCGUGGCAGCACCCCUGUGCUCCAGAAAACCACUUUUAGGCUCAGCUGUGCCCUAGUCCUGCCUCAGCCCUCGGCAGUCUCGGGGCCCAGCUGGACCAGUCUGGUAAAACCUCCCGGUGCCCCCCCCAGCUUGUCCCCCCCGCAAAUCCUGGCAGGCCAGCCGUGGAGUCCCCCAGGGGCUGGGGCCAGCUUCCAGCCCUCCCCGAUGGUGCUGGGUGCCCCCCCCACAUCCCAGCCCCAGGCAAAACAGGGCACCCAGGGCAGCCCAGAUUUGGGGAGCAACUGGUGAUCCUGGGGGAGAAGAAUAAAC